ACUACGACAUACUACGACAUACUACGACAUACUACGACAUACUACGACAUACUACGACAUACUACGACAUACUACGACAUACUACGACAUACUACGACAUACUACGACAUACUACGACAUACUACGACAUACUACGACAUACUACGACAUACUACGACAUACUACGACAUACUACGACAUACUACGACAUACUACGACAUACUACGACAUACUACGACAUACUACGACAUACUACGACAUACUACGACAUACUACGACAUACUACGACAUACUACGACAUACUACGACAUACUACGACAUACUACGACAUACUACGACAUACUACGACAUACUACGACAU
rnacentral:rRNA from 2 species